CUGCAGCCAAUUUAGCCGACUGGGUUCCCUUCCUCAUGAGGGCCCAGCGUGCAAUGGCUGCAAACAGCAGCCAUUGGUAAUGUAAUGCAGCCUGUUUCUUGUAUGGGUUGCACUAAGGGACCUUGGAGACGAGC
ensembl:snoRNA SNORA70 Small nucleolar RNA SNORA70